rnacentral:rRNA from 1 species
GAUGAACGCUGGCGGCGUGCCUAAUACAUGCAAGUCGAGCGAACAGACGAGGAGCUUGCUCCUCUGACGUUAGCGGCGGACGGGUGAGUAACACGUGGAUAACCUACCUAUAAGACUGGGAUAACUUCGGGAAACCGGAGCUAAUACCGGAUAAUAUAUUGAACCGCAUGGUUCAAUAGUGAAAGACGGUUUUGCUGUCACUUAUAGAUGGAUCCGCGCCGCAUUAGCUAGUUGGUAAGGUAACGGCUUACCAAGGCAACGAUGCGUAGCCGACCUGAGAGGGUGAUCGGCCACACUGGAACUGAGACACGGUCCAGCCUCCUACGGGAGGCAGCAGUAGGGAAUCUUCCGCAAUGGGCGAAAGCCUGACGGAGCAACGCCGCGUGAGUGAUGAAGGUCUUCGGAUCGUAAAACUCUGUUAUUAGGGAAGAACAAAUGUGUAAGUAACUAUGCACGUCUGGACGGUACCUAAUCAGAAAGCCACGGCUAACUACGU